rnacentral:lncRNA from 1 species
CUCAGAACCCACCUAUGCUUUCAAAUUUCAACAAUGUACAAUCUCCACCAUCCCAUCUCCAUUCCAAACCCACUCUGAUCAACCUCGCCCUCCUCAAUCACAUCAACGGUGACUCACCGAUAGGCUCGGAUAGAGGGGAUCCUCACCCCUAUGAAACAGUGAUGCCUCAUAACCAAGAUAAAUUUAGCGGCAGGUGAAUCAACCAUUUUCUGUUUUUUCCUACUUAGUUCGGUUGCUUUUCGCUGGGUAUUUUCCCAUUGUUUACGCCCCUUUUUGUUCUGAAUCGAUUUUGCUGCUGUGAUUGCAUGUCAUUCAUCCUCUCUUCUGAUGUGCAUUUACUUUCUUCAGCUACUGUUUUCGAAGAAGUGGGAGAGCCGGGUGAAGGCUUUGUCCUCGAUUCUUUUGAAUUCAUUCCAUUUGGUCAGCUAUCACUCCGUGUUCCACCUUUUCCUUUCCUUACGGGUUUGUUCUUACUUAAUUUAUCUCGGAUCCAUUUGAUUUUGUUUGGGGUUGAGACAUGUGUUUCUUACUUGGCUUUGGCACCGUGUCUCAGUUUGUACUACUAUACUGUCUAAGUUUCCCAUUUUAAAAUUGUCUUUAAGAAAUCAGUUAUUCGUUUCUAGAUCCACUUAUUUCUCAUUUGAUGUCUCAAAUUUUACUAUCCCAACUCGCCGAGGAUGUUAAGGAUGCUACCAUUCGGCUCCGCCUUCUGCAUCGCUUGAAGGCUGGGAGCCCCUCCAUGCCUGAAAAUUUCUUUGCUUAUUCCACACUAUGGGCGGAUGAGAC